rnacentral:rRNA from 1 species
ACGAACGCUGGCGGCGUGGAUAAGACAUGCAAGUCGAACGAGAGAAUUGCUAGCUUGCUAAUAAUUCUCUAGUGGCGCACGGGUGAGUAACACGUGAGUAACCUGCCCCCGAGAGCGGGAUAGCCCUGGGAAACUGGGAUUAAUACCGCAUAGUAUCGAAAGAUUAAAGCAGCAAUGCGCUUGGGGAUGGGCUCGCGGCCUAUUAGUUAGUUGGUGAGGUAACGGCUCACCAAGGCGAUGACGGGUAGCCGGUCUGAGAGGAUGUCCGGCCACACUGGAACUGAGACACGGUCCAGACACCUACGGGUGGCAGCAGUCGAGAAUCAUUCACAAUGGGGGAAACCCUGAUGGUGCGACGCCGCGUGGGGGAAUGAAGGUCUUCGGAUUGUAAACCCCUGUCAUGUGGGAGCAAAUUAAAAAGAUAGUACCACAAGAGGAAGAGACGGCUAACUCUGUGCCAGCAGCCGCGGUAAUACAGAGGUCUCAAGCGUUGUUCGGAAUCACUGGGCGUAAAGCGUGCGUAGGCUGUUUAGUAAGUCGUGUGUGAAAGGCGCGGGCUCAACCCGCGGACGGCACAUGAUACUGCGAGACUAGAGUAAUGGAGGGGGAACCGGAAUUCUCGGUGUAGCAGUGAAAUGCGUAGAUAUCGAGAGGAACACUCGUGGCGAAGGCGGGUUCCUGGACAUUAACUGACGCUGAGGCACGAAGGCCAGGGGAGCGAAAGGGAUUAGAUACCCCUGUAGUCCUGGCAGUAGACGGUGCACGCUUGGUGUGCGGGGAAUCGACCCCCUGCGUGCCGGAGCUAACGCGUUAAGCGUGCCGCCUGGGGAGUACGGUCGCAAGAUUAAAACUCAAAGAAAUUGACGGGGACCCGCACAAGCGGUGGAGUAUGUGGCUUAAUUCGAUGCAACGCGAAGAACCUUACCUGGGCUUGACAUGUAAUGAACAACAUGUGAAAGCAUGCGACUCUUCGGAGGCGUUACACAGGUGCUGCAUGGCCGUCGUCAGCUCGUGUCGUGAGAUGUUUGGUUAAGUCCAGCAACGAGCGCAACCCCUGUUGCCAGUUACCAGCACGUGAAGGUGGGGACUCUGGCGAGACUGCCCAGAUCAACUGGGAGGAAGGUGGGGACGACGUCAGGUCAGUAUGGCCCUUAUGCCCAGGGCUGCACACGUACUACAAUGCCCAGUACAGAGGGGGCCGAAGCCGCGAGGCGGAGGAAAUCCUGAAAACUGGGCCCAGUUCGGACUGUAGGCUGCAACCCGCCUACACGAAGCCGGAAUCGCUAGUAAUGGCGCAUCAGCUACGGCGCCGUGAAUACGUUCCCGGGUCUUGUACACACCGCCCGUCACAUCAUGGAAGCCGGUCGCACCCGAAGUAUCUGAAGCCAACCGCAAGGAGGCAGGGUCCUAAGGUGAGACUGGUAACUGGGAUG